rnacentral:rRNA from 1 species
AUUGAACGCUGGCGGCAGGCCUAACACAUGCAAGUCGAGCGGAUGAAGCGAGCUUGCUCCUGGUUUCAGCGGCGGACGGGUGUGUAAUGCCUAGGAAUCUGCCUGGUAGUGGGGGAUAACGUCCGGAAACGGGCGCUAAUACCGCAUACGUCCUGAGGGUGAAAGUGGGGGAUCUUCGGACCUCACGCUAUCAGAUGAGCCUAGGUCGGAUUAGCUAGUUGGUGGGGUAAAGGCCUACCAAGGCGACGAUCCGUCACUGGUCUGAGAGGAUGAUCAGUCACACUGGAAGUGAGACACGGUCCAGACUCCUACGGGAGGGAGCAGUGGGGAAUAGUGGACAAUGGGGGAAAGCCUGAUCCAGCCAUGCCGCGUGUGUGAAGAAGGUCUUCGGAUUGUAAAGCAGUUUAAGUGGGGAGGAAGGGCAGUAAGUUAAUACCUUGCUGUAUUGACGGUACCAACAGAAUAAGCACCGGCUAACUUCGUG